CUCGUAGGUGGCCAACUAAGUCAGACGUGAAAUCCCUCAGCUUAACUGGGGAACUGCGUCUGAUACUGGAUGGCUUGAGUUUUGGGAGAGGGAUGCGGAAUUCCAGGUGUAGCGGUGAAAUGCGUAGAUAUCUGGAGGAACACCGGUGGCGAAGGCGGCAUCCUGGACCAAUACUGACACUGAGGAGCGAAAAGCCAGGGGAAGCAACG
rnacentral:rRNA from 1 species